UGCAUCGGCCGGGAAUCGAACCCGGGGCGCCCGCCACUAUAAUAUAUAAAUGAGUUUUAAAAAUUGUAAAAAAAAAUGCAUCGGCCGGGAAUCAAACCGCGUGGCAGGCGAGCAUUCUACGACUGAACCAAAAGC